GACGAACCGUCCAAACGUUAUUCGGAAUCACUGGGCUUAAAGGGCGCGUAGGUGGGUUGGCCAGUCUAUGGUGAAAUCCUCCGGCUUAACCGGAGAACUGCCGUGGAUACUGCCAGUCUCGAGGAGGGUAGGGGCGUCUGGAACUAGCGGUGGAGCGGUGAGAUGCGUUGAUAUCGCUAGGAACUCCGGUGGCGAAGGCGAGACGCUGGACCCUUUCUGACACUGAGGCGCGAAAGCCAGGGGAGCGAACGGG
rnacentral:rRNA from 1 species